GGAGUAAUUAUCUUCAUCUUUCUGGCGAUAAUUAUAGCAAUCGUAGUUUCUGAAUUAACUUAAUGAAAUUGAAGGUGCAAGCUUCUCACUUGUAAGGUUCGUAUUCUCAAGCUCCAUGGCCGUCUAACAUAAAUAUGUAAAUACUAUUGGCUUAUAUAUAUUAGCCAUUCACUUUUGAAUCCACAAGGAAGAUUUGAUAACAUGACAGGCCAAAAUUACAUAGAAAACAUAACUAGAAAUACAUGGUAAUCUGUCAAUCAUAGGUUAUAGUAUCAAAUUUGCCUUUCUGAGGUUCAAAGUGAGGUUGGUAAUGAUCUUGUGGUUUAUAGGCCUCUUCUACUGUAAGUUUAAUCAACAAGAUGUUUUAGCUUUGCUACAAAUAAUACAAUCAAUCAAUAGGAAAAAAUGUUUGCACUCAAGCUAAACCGCAAUGCACUGUAAAGGCUAUCCCACAAAAGGUCUCUAGGAUUGAGGGACUGAAUCAAAACUCAUGCACUUUCUUGCAUCCCCAUAUUCAUGCAAAUGAGAACCAUGAGUAUCCCAUAUAUUAGGCUUUUUAUACACCAAAUCCAAAUAUGGYGACCAAUUUGAAUAACUUUUUUUUUGGACUGACUAGGCUCUCAUACAUGUGAAAAUGCUUUAUGUCCAAGUGAACAUGAGGCUGGUCAGUCCAGAACAAUAGAUACUUAAAUUGGUUACAAUAUUUUGAUUUAGCGUAUAGUAGAUGUUAAGGUGCAUUCUGGUUUUUCUUGAGUACAAAAGCGCUAUGUAUUAUAAGUCCUACCCAAGCCAGACUAAAAGCAAUAUUGUUUCAGGCUUUCAUACAAAUAUCAGUCAAAGAACACAAAUCUACUGUCCCUACCCMGGACAGUCAUUUUUUUAAUUCAAAAAGUUUUAAUAAUUUACUAAAGUCAGUAAAAUAAAUUAAUUGAACUUAAUAUCAAAAAAAUUCAUGCAUAUUAGAAGGAGAUGUUCUACACUGUUAUUUUUGCAUUAAGAAAUUGUCAUUUAAUAAAAAAAUUAUAUCGUAUUUUA